GUAACGACUUCCCCGCUGUCUCCAACAUCGACUCAGCGAAAUCGAAUUGCCUGUCAAGAUGCAGGCUUCCCGCGGUUAGACGGAAAGACCCCGUGCACCUUUACUACAGCUUCGCACUGGCAUCAGGCACAACAUGUGCAGGAUAGGUGGUAGGCUUUGAAGCAGGGACGCCAGUCUCUGUGGAGCCUCCCUUGAGAUACCACCCUUGUUCUGCUUGAUGUCUAACCGCGGUCCGUUAUCCGGAUCCGGGACCAUGCGUGGUGGGUAGUUUGACUGGGGCGGUCGCCUCCUAAAGAGUAACGGAGGCGCGCGAUGGUAGGCUCAGGACGGUUGGAAACCGUCUGCGAGAGUGCAAUGGCAUAAGCCUGCCUGACUGCGAGACUGACGAGUCGAGCAGAGACGAAAGUCGGUCAUAGUGAUCCGGUGGUCCCUCGUGGAAGGGCCAUCGCUCAACGGAUAAAAGGUACUCUGGGGAUAACAGGCUGAUGGUGCCCAAGAGUCCAUAUCGACGGCACCGUUUGGCACCUCGAUGUCGGCUCAUCUCAUCCUGGGGCUGUAGCCGGUCCCAAGGGUAUGGCUGUUCGCCAUUUAAAGUGGUACGUGAGCUGGGUUUAGAACGUCGUGAGACAGUUCGGUCCCUAUCUGCCGUGGGUGUAGGAUACUUGAGAGGAGUUGCCCCUAGUACGAGAGGACCGGGGUGGACGAACCUCUAGUGUACCUGUUGUGACGCCAGUUGCAUCGCAGGGUAGCUACGUUCGGA
rnacentral:rRNA from 14 species